UACGUAGGGUGCGAGCGUUGUCCGGAAUUAUUGGGCGUAAAGAGCUCGUAGGCGGUGUGUCGCGUCGGCCGUGAAAACCUGCAGCUUAACUGUGGGCUUGCGGUCGAUACGGGCAUCACUGGAGUUCGGCAGGGGAGACUGGAAUUCCUGGUGUAGCGGUGAAAUGCGCAGAUAUCAGGAGGAACACCGGUGGCGAAGGCGGGUCUCUGGGCCGAUACUGACGCUGAGGCACGAAAGCGUGGGGAGCAAACAGG
rnacentral:rRNA from 1 species